UACGGGGGGGAGCAAGCGUUGUUCGGAUUUACUGGGCGUAAAGGGCGCGUAGGCGGCCAGCACAAGUCAGUUGUGAAAUCUCCGAGCUUAACUCGGAAAGGUCAACUGAUACUGUGCGGCUAGAGUGCGGAAGGGGCAACUGGAAUUCUUGGUGUAGCGGUGAAAUGCGUAGAUAUCAAGAGGAACACCUGCGGCGAAGGCGGGUUGCUGGGGCCGACACUGACGCUGAGGCGCGAAAGCUAGGGGAGCGAACGGG
rnacentral:rRNA from 1 species